rnacentral:rRNA from 1 species
AGGGGCAGCAUGGUCUCAGCUUGCUAAGGCCGAUGGCGACCGGCGCACGGGUGAGUAACACGUAUCCAACCUGCCGUCUACUCUUGGACAGCCUUCUGAAAGGAAGAUUAAUACAAGAUGGCAUCAUGAGUCCACAUGUUCACAUGAUUAAAGGUAUUCCGGUAGACGAUGGGGAUGCGUUCCAUUAGAUAGUAGGCGGGGUAACGGCCCACCUAGUCUUCGAUGGAUAGGGGUUCUGAGAGGAAGGUCCCCCACAUUGGAACUGAGACACGGUCCAAACUCCUACGGGAGGCAGCAGUGAGGAAUAUUGGUCAAUGGGCGAGAGCCUGAACCAGCCAAGUAGCGUGAAGGAUGACUGCCCUAUGGGUUGUAAACUUCUUUUAUAAAGGAAUAAAGUCGGGUAUGCAUACCCGUUUGCAUGUACUUUAUGAAUAAGGAUCGGCUAACUCCGUGCCAGCAGCCGCGGUAAUACGGAGGAUCCGAGCGUUAUCCGGAUUUAUUGGGUUUAAAGGGAGCGUAGAUGGAUGUUUAAGUCAGUUGUGAAAGUUUGCGGCUCAACCGUAAAAUUGCAGUUGAUACUGGAUAUCUUGAGUGCAGUUGAGGCAGGCGGAAUUCGUGGUGUAGCGGUGAAAUGCUUAGAUAUCACGAAGAACUCCGAUUGCGAAGGCAGCCUGCUAAGCUGCAACUGACAUUGAGGCUCGAAAGUGUGGGUAUCAAACAGG